AGCGAACGCUGGCGGCAGGCUUAACACAUGCAAGUCGAGCGGGCAUAGCAAUAUGUCAGCGGCAGACGGGUGAGUAACGCGUGGGAACGUACCUUUUGGUUCGGAACAACACAGGGAAACUUGUGCUAAUACCGGAUAAGCCCUUACGGGGAAAGAUUUAUCGCCGAAAGAUCGGCCCGCGUCUGAUUAGCUAGUUGGUGAGGUAAUGGCUCACCAAGGCGACGAUCAGUAGCUGGUCUGAGAGGAUGAUCAGCCACAUUGGGACUGAGACACGGCCCAAACUCCUACGGGAGACAGCAGUGGGGAAUAUUGGACAAUGGGCGCAAGCCUGAUCCAGCCAUGCCGCGUGAGUGAUGAAGGCCCUAGGGUUGUAAAGCUCUUUUGUGCGGGAAGAUAAUGACGGUACCGCAAGAAUAAGCCCCGGCUAACUUCGUGCCAGCAGCCGCAGUAA
rnacentral:rRNA from 1 species